rnacentral:lncRNA from 1 species
CCAGAGCAGAUGUAACUCAGUGAGCGACGGGAUAAGACACAUUCAAGAUGAACAUGCUUCGAAGGACGUUGAUUGCUGCGUUGUCCUUGCUACUCCUCGCCCUCUCUGUGGCGGCGCAGGUCACAUCCAGCCGAGGACCGAAUUCUUUACCUGGUUUUAGGAACAGGCUUGGAUUCAGGGGGAGACUUGGUCUUUUGAGGCCUCACUUUGACGAUCGCUUCUGGCACGAUUUUGAUAUCCAUGGUUUCACUAGAUACGGAUAAAACCCAAUGGUGAGAAACAAGGCUUUUGAAUCCGCGUACCCAGGCCUCAGAAAUUUCCUUAAAAAAAAAAAAAAAAAAAAAAACGUUUUCGAGUCUAAGGAUUAAAUAUACCGAGGAUGGCAUUGAUUGAGAGUACUGUAAUAAAAAAAACAAAAAAAACUCUUGUUAUGAAUUCUGUUCAGGAGAUUGAAUUCAUCAAGAGACCUGAGUGUGUGAGGUGAAUCAAUGGUAAUUUUUUUUUUUUGCAUAUUUGUCUGUUAACAUUUAAGGGUAUAUUUUUUUACUAUGAGAGUUUCCAAGAUUAUAUGUCUAUUCAAAGGAAUUUAGUAUUCUACAUCCUACCUAUAUCAAAUUUCAGUUUACAUAACUUUGAAAAAAACAAUUACAAUGUAGAUAUCGCUUUUAUUAAAAAGCUGACAUCUGUAAUUAUCUUUUGCUCAUUAAUACUUGCCUCUUUUUCUUAAUUUCCUCCUUGUUUAUAUUUCUUUUCAUCUUUUAAUAUGAAACUAUCGAUUAGAUAUAUUACAGGAGAUCCUUUCAAGAAAAUGUUAACGUUAUGAUUGCUAUUUGUAAUGUGAAUUAUAUCAUCAUAGGUUUGUUAUUUAUAUUUCGUGUGGAUUUUCGUUAUGAAUGCUUGUCUGUGUGUAGGUAGUUGUAUAGUAUAUAGUCUUAAUAUAAGCCAAAUGUGCACUGUUGCGAUAGAUAGCAAAUUAGUGUAUAAACUACAAUAAAGUUAUUUCUUUUU